ACUCCUGCGGGAGGCAGCAGUGGGGAAUAUUGGACAAUGGGCGCAAGCCUGAUCCAGCCAUGCCGCGUGAGUGAUGAAGGCCCUAGGGUUGUAAAGCUCUUUCACCGGUGAAGAUAAUGACGGUAACCGGAGAAGAAGCCCCGACUAACUUCGUUCCAGCAGCCGCGGUAAUACGAAGGGGGCUAGCGUUGUUCGGAUUUACUGGGCGUAAAGCGCACGUAGGCGGACUAUUAAGUCAGGGGUGAAAUCCCGGGGCUCAACCCCGGAACUGCCUUUGAUACUGGUAGUCUUGAGUUCGAGAGAGGUGAGUGGAAUUCCGAGUGUAGAGGUGAAAUUCGUAGAUAGUCGGAGGAACACCAGUGGCGAAGGCGGCUCACUGGCUCGAUACUGACGCUGAGGUGCGAAAGCGUGGGGAGCAAACAGGAUUAGAUACCCUUGUAGUCCCA
rnacentral:rRNA from 1 species